UUUCUUUUCAUGUUUGUUUAAUCGAAUCGUGUGAACAUAUGGGAAAAGUACAUCAACCGUAAAUUUUAUUGGUGCUUAUAAUAUUCUGAACUGCGAAACAGCUGGUUAUAUUGAUAUUGUGAUGUGUUAUAGCGAAUAUUUCAGACAGCAUCUUGGGUCUUCAAGAAAGCGAUCUCUACAUUUACACAGAUAUUAAACAGAGAGUAAAUUACAAGUUUUGCCGCACAUAAAUUUUCUAUGAAUAUUAUUCAACUUGUAUCGUUCCGAUCACAAUAACACCAGCAUAUAACAAAUUAUUUAGAUUUCGUUAUUGGGGAAUGCCCGUCUUCAUUCAUCUUUAUCCACGAAAAACCUAAACAGCGGCAAUAAAUAAAACGAAGCAAAAUGUAGCAGAAUGAACUUCAGCAGGAAGUUUGAGUUCCGCGGUGCCAAUGCUUGAGAUUCUUUUUCAAAUUCAUUUGACUGCAGCUUUGCCGGAGAACCGCCUUUAGUCGAGACAAUCGAUCUCAGGACUUAUUUGUUGUAAGACUAGUAUUAUCCCAUCGGUCUCUUGUGCCGAACCGCUAAGUUACGGGGAUGAAAACACACCACCAGUGGUUGUCAAGUAAUGUUGCGCGGACAAACACAGACGCACAAACACAC
rnacentral:misc_RNA from 1 species